UCGCAGAAGCGUUUUCAAAUAGCGAUUUGUAACGGCUAUUUUCCUCCAUUUCGUGACUGCUGUCAUCUCUAACACACGGAAGAACAUCCACAUAAACCCUGACAUUGUUCAGUAUUCUCUCAAACAGCCGUUUGAGUCACCUCAAAUGUAGCAGAGGGCCAGAUUGAAACGGUCCGAUGCACUUCACUUGCAAUGCUUUCUACUUACUGCUGUGGACAUGAAAGGAUUGUCCUAGGCUUGCUCAUGCUGAUGGGCUGCACCACAGCAGUACUGUAGCUGAAUUCCUGUCGGACAACAUCUUCAGGAUGCUUUGACUAGGACACCUCCAAUGUGAAGCAGUGGACAGCUAAAGAUGUUGCUGGCUGUUAUUGCUAGA